rnacentral:misc_RNA from 1 species
CGCACAUUGCGCCCCUUGGUAUUCCAUGGGGCAUGCCUGUUCGAGCGUCAUUUACACCCUCAAGCAUAGCUUGGUGUUGGGCGUUUGUCCAUUCCUCCGCGUAUGGACUCGCCCUAAAGUUAUUGGCAGCAGUCUUAUCGGCUCCUCGCGCAGCACACCGCGCUGAAAGGGUCGGGGGAUAUGCGUCCAUUAAGAUCUACCACUUAGUUUGACCUCGGAUCAGGUAGGGAUACCCGCUGAACUUAA